ACCUUAGGCAAUGGAUGUCUUGGCUUCUUACACGAGGAAGAACGUUGCAUAAUGCGAUAAGCGGCUGGAGUUGCUUACUUUGCGACAAGUUCGAUCUUUGAAUGCACAUUGCGCGCCGUCGAGCUUCGGCUUUGACACGCAUAUAUGGUACAGUAACCCAUAAUAGUUUAAAAAAAUCUCUUUUUACGCAAAAGAGCGAAAAAUUUAUAUGUAACCAACGUAAGGGUUCUGUGCUAUAUAGGAAGACCCGCUGAACUGAAGCAUCUCAUUAAGCGGAGGAAAAGAAACUAACUAGGAUACUCUUAGUAAGUGCGACCGAAGAGAGUAAAGUUCGUCGACCUAAUCCUUUGGGAAAUGUGGUUGAGGGGGCUUUUUGCUAGAGCGUAACUUGUGAUGGUUCACAGGCUAUAAAGAGUUUAAGCCUCGUAGCUUUUGCAAGCUAGGUCCCUGUAAACGAGUCGGGCAGCUUGAGAAUGCUGCCUUAAUUAGGUGGUACGCCCCAUCUAAAACUAAAUACUGUAAGAAGACCGAUAGAGCACAAGUAGUGUGAACGAAAGAUGAAAAGAACUCCCAGACGGAGAGUCAAAAGCGCCUGAACUUGUCUAGGGUGACGUAUUUAUUUAAUACACCCGUCUUGAAACACGGAUUAGGGAGUUUAACUGUAGUACGAGUCUUUGCCUUAUAAAGGUGGAGGCGAAAGGAGACUGACUGGCAUCUGCAUGGCGUCUGAGUACUACUGUUAGAACCCGAAAGGAGGUGAACUAUGCCUGAACAGAUCGAAGCCAGAGGAAACUCUGGUGGAGGAUCGUCCGCGUUAUUGAUGUGCAAAUCAUUUGCUAGAUUUGGGUAUAGGUGCGAAAGACUCAUCGAACCUCCUAAUAGCUGGUUUCCUCCGAAGUUUCCCUAAGGAUAGCUGUAACACUUUUAGUUAAGGGGAGUAGAGACAUGGGUAGAGGUGUAGUGGGGUCCUUGACCCUGCAACUUAUUUCCAAACUUCGAACAUCCUUGCACUAAUUUACCUAAUCGGAAAUUGGUGGUUAAAUAUGUGUUGCAAGUGGGCUCUGACCGGUAAGCGGUCAUGGCGAAAUGGGAUGAACCAAACGUGUGGAUAAGGUGCCUAAUUGUACUACCAAUGAUACCAUUAAGGGAGUCCUUGUAUUUAGACAGCGGGCCGGUGCCCCUAAAAGCAGGUAUCCGCUAAAAAGUGUGUUAAAACUUCCCCGCCGAAUACUCGGGCCUCGAAAAUGAAUGGCGCAUAUAGUACAACCGAUACCGCACAUUACAUCUUUUGAUGUGAGAGUAGGGGGAUGUGGAGAUCUUAUUGAAGGUUUGGGUGCGAACCCGACUCGAAAGAUUUCUAUUACAGAUCCUAAUUGAAGUAGCGAUUAUCCAGGUUAUUAUCCUGGGGGCUGAUGAGGAGUAGGGUUUCUGGGCAACUUAAACAGUCCCAGAGUUAGUCGGUCCUAAUCAGAUUAUUCUGAGAAAGGGAACUCGGUUGAUAUUCCGAGACUAAUACUUCCAUGUGGUAACACUUGGCAAUCUUAUCCGUCGAUUUGACACUCUAUGAUAGGGAUAUCUUUCCUAUAUGACUCGGUUUACGUCCUAGGAAUCAGGUCAACUGGGGAAUAGUUGAUGUAUCUGAGGCAAACUGUGAAUUCGUUCACAGCCAGGGCUGUUGGAUUGAUCCUUGAAGAGAGGAUUGCUUAGGGAGUAUAGCCGUACCGAUGACCGCAUCAGGUCUCCAAGGUGAGAAGCCUAUGGCCAUUGAGGUGUGGUAGUUCAGGGAAUUCGGCCAAUUGGAGCUGUAACUUCGGGAUAAAGCUUGGCUCUGAUGGAAAUCAGAACCGAUAGUUACAAGGAGAGCCCAACUGUUUAAUAAAAACUUAGUCUUGCGCUGUGCUCUUAUAGGCAGUGAACGCAAGAUGAAUCCUGCUCAGUGCUGUGUUUGUUAAUAUGGUUAAAGCCAAUAAAGCGCCGGUAAAUAGCUGGGGUAACUAUGACUCUUAUCAAAGUAGCGAAAUACCUCGUCACUUAAUUAGUGACCUGCAUGAACGGAGCUAUGAGGUUCUCACUGUCCCAAACUAUCUCUCAGCGAACCAUCAGUUGUGGGAACGGGCACAAACUAUCCAGCGGGGAAAGAAGACCCUGUAGAGCUUCACUUUGGUCUAGUCUUGUAUGGUUUCGUCUGGGGUGCAGUCUAGGUGGGAGAGCAAUCGAAUAUGAGAAACCACUACCCGGUCUGGAAUCAUGCUUACCUUAAUCGGGAUAGGAUUAGAUAGAAAGUUUGGCUGGGGCGGCACACCUUCGAAAGCGCAGCGAAGGUGUCCUAAGUUGAGCUCAGUGAGGACAGAAAUCUCACGUCGAGGAUAAGGCCAAAAGCUCAAUUUACUGUGCCUUUUUGUACUAGGACCAGUUUGGAAACAAAGGCCUAACGAUCCCUAAUUAGUCUCAGGUGCGUGAGACUUGGGGUGACAGACAAGUUACCUCCGGGACAACUGGCUUGUGGCUGCUAAGAGAUCAAAUCAACGCAGCUUUUUGAUUCUUCGAUGUCGGCUCUUCCUAUCCUAGUGAUGCACAAGUCACUAAGGGUUGGAUUGUUCACCCGUAUUAGGGAUCGUGAGCUGGGUUUAGACCGUCGUGAGCCAGGUUUGUUUUAUCCUACUGGAUAUUGCAUCAUGAUAGUAGUUUGAUUUAGUACGAGAGGAACUGUUGAAUAUGGCCUCUGGUUCAGGGAUUUUGGGAAACCAAACCGUCCCGCAGCUACGCCGUCUGGGAUAAUGGCUGAAGGCCUCUUAAGCCAGAAACUCAUCUAGAAAAUGAUGCUCUGCACCUUUCUGACAUGUUAAAAAUAGCUUUUGCUUUCUAAAUGUCUCGGUGUGGGUUAACCAAAUGUAGAAGACGUUUUGUGAACGAGGGUCCUGUACGCAAGGGAGUGGCAUUCCGUCACGACCUGUUGAGGGUCAGCCUUGUUUCUAGGUUAUUAUAUUGUCUUUUUUUUUAAAAAAAUAAAUCAAAGUCAUUUUUGAUUUAUUUUAUAAUACAGAAGUGUCACUUUUACGGUAUAUUUCUUAAUGAAUUUAUAUGUAAUUUUGAUGCAUUCAUUAAUGUUGCAUACUUAUAUAUGAUUCACAUGCACUUGAUUAACAAAACAAGCUAUUUUUCGAUUUAAAAUCAUAAUGAAUAUAACAUGUUAUACUGAGAAUAUUAUCAUCAAUAAUUUUUUGCUUAUAAAUAUAUAUAAAAAUUUCACUAAAAAUAUAAGAGUUAAUUUUAUUAAUGAAAACACUUUUUUUUAUACAUUUUU